UACGGAGGGGGCUAGCGUUGUUCGGAAUUACUGGGCGUAAAGCGCACGUAGGCGGCUUUGCAAGUUAGAGGUGAAAGCCCGGGGCUCAACUCCGGGAAUUGCCUUUAAAACUGCAUCGCUAGAAUUGUGGAGAGGUAAGUGGAAUUCCGAGUGUAGAGGUGAAAUUCGUAGAUAUUCGGAAGAACACCAGUGGCGAAGGCGACUUACUGGACACAUAUUGACGCUGAGGUGCGAAAGCGUGGGGAGCAAACAGG
rnacentral:rRNA from 1 species